CUGCUUUGUGCUACUGAGCAGAACACAAACUUCAGUCGCUCAAGUCACUGAAAUGUGGAGGUUUGCUUGUUACAGCAGCCAGCGGGCUCUCAGCCAGUACACCAUGUUUCUGCAAACUGGGGGUCAGGUUUCCACUCCAGUCCAGGAUCCCCAACAGCUGCGUUUCCCAGGUGCCUGGAUCGGCCAAGUGAAGCCAAUGGGAGGCACUGGAGGAGAAGCCAGGUGCUCCCUCCUCCCCUUCGGGCUACCUCUCUGGUGGCCUCUUGUCUCCUCCAUGGUCCCAGCUUCCUCCAGCCAGGCCUCCGUGUUCUGGAAUCCUCCCUGACCCUGGGUCCUGCACGUCCUCCUCCUGUCCGCUCACUUGCAGAACUGGGGGCAGCUUCCUGCAGUUGCUGAGCUCAAGGUCACCCCCAGCUCUGUUAAGCUUCCCAGCCACUCUCUGGACUGCAGAACCAACUCCCUGCCUUCAAUUCCUUCCGUUGAAAUGCUCAGAGGGGCGCCUGUUUCCUGGCCUGGACCCCGAUUGCCACGUGGACCCACGGGGAGGUUCUCGGCCCCUUAAGGCAGUGGGGAAGGGCUGCCUGGGGUCUCCACCUCUCUACCCGGAGGGCUGCAGCCAGGCUUUCAUCUCUCUCCGUCGCCCCCUCCCUGGCUCUUCCUCUCCCGUGCUUUUCUCCUCCCUCGGCUGCGUCUUGCAUCCUCCCCUUGGAUUCACGCCGAGGUCAGUCCUCCAUGGGUGGCUCUUCGAGAGAGAACAUCCAGCUCUGGGAAUUACGGGAACCUUUACUCACACUUGAAAGCCCAGCUUGCAAGACCACUGUCUCACCCGGGACUUAAAAAAAACCUCAAGAAAGUUAUUU
rnacentral:lncRNA from 1 species